rnacentral:tRNA from 1 species
GGCGCCGUAGCUCAGCCCGGUAGAGCAGCUGGUUGAAGCCCAGCGUGUCCCUGGUUCAAAUCCAGGCGGUGCCUCCA